rnacentral:tRNA from 1 species
GGAGUUGUAGCUCAGUGGUAGAGCACUUGCCUUGCAAGUGCGAGGUACUGGGUUCCAUCCUAGCACCA